rnacentral:rRNA from 1 species
UAGGGAAUCUUCGGCAAUGGGGGCAACCCUGACCGAGCAACGCCGCGUGAGUGAAGAAGGUUUUCGGAUCGUAAAGCUCUGUUGUAAGAGAAGAACGUGUGUGAGAGUGGAAAGUUCACACAGUGACGGUAACUUACCAGAAAGGGACGGCUAACUACGUGCCAGCAGCCGCGGUAAUACGUAGGUCCCGAGCGUUGUCCGGAUUUAUUGGGCGUAAAGCGAGCGCAGGCGGUUUAAUAAGUCUGAAGUUAAAGGCAGUGGCUUAACCAUUGUUCGCUUUGGAAACUGUUAAACUUGAGUGCAGAAGGGGAGAGUGGAAUUCCAUGUGUAGCGGUGAAAUGCGUAGAUAUAUGGAGGAACACCGGUGGCGAAAGCGGCUCUCUGGUCUGUAACUGACGCUGAGGCUCGAAAGCGUGGGGAGCAAACAGGAUUAGAUACCCUGGUAGUCCACGCCGUAAACGAUGAGUGCUAGGUGUUAGGCCCUUUCCGGGGCUUAGUGCCGCAGCUAACGCAUUAAGCGCUCCGCCUGGGGAGUACGACCGCAAGGUUG